rnacentral:rRNA from 2 species
UACGUAGGGUGCGAGCGUUAAUCGGAAUUACUGGGCGUAAAGCGUGCGCAGGCGGUUUUGUAAGUCAGAUGUGAAAUCCCCGAGCUCAACUUGGGAACUGCGUUUGAAACUAUAAGACUAGAAUAUGUCAGAGGGGGGUAGAAUUCCACGUGUAGCAGUGAAAUGCGUAGAGAUGUGGAGGAAUACCAAUGGCGAAGGCAGCCCCCUGGGAUAAUAUUGACGCUCAUGCACGAAAGCGUGGGGAGCAAACAGG